AUUAUACUCCCUCCCUCCGGAAAUACUUGUCGAAGAAAUGGAUAAAAAAUGAUGUAUCUAAAACUAAAAUACGUCUAGAUACAUCCAUUUCACCGACAAGUAUUUUUGGACGGAGGGAGUAGUUG
rnacentral:pre_miRNA from 1 species